AGGGAUGUAGCUCAGUGGUAGAGUGCUUGCAUAACAUGCAUGAGGCCUUGGGUUCAAUUCCUAGUACUACAA
rnacentral:tRNA from 1 species